rnacentral:lncRNA from 1 species
GGGGCACCAGGGUCUGCUUUCCGACUCCCUUCCGACUCUGCGCCUGCGCAGGAAGCGAUUUGGGGAGUGUUGUGAAUUCCGAGGGCUCCACACUUAAGAGGUUGUACACUCACCUAUCUACCUGGACUCCAAUUUCCAUAUUUCCAGCCACUUGAGGACUGAGAGGUGGAUGAUAAACCCUGUCAUAGUGGAGCAAGUUCAGGUGUUUAACCGCUGUUAUGGGGGAUCUGCCUUUUCUCCCUCUUCUUUCUUACUUCCAUAAGUAUGUAUGUGCAGAGAUUGAAAAAUAACCUUGAGAGAGUCCAUCCAUCUAACUCCAGGGAGUCAUGCUCUGUCACCCAGGCUGGAGUGUAGUGGCACGAUCUCUGCUCGGCUCAUUGCAACCUCUGCCUCCCUGGUUCAAGCAAUUCUCCUGCCUCAGCCUCCCAAGUAGCUCGGAUUACAGGCUCCCGCCACCACACCCAGCUAAUUUUUGUAUUUUUAGUAGAAACGGGGGUUCACCGUGUUGGCCAAGCUGGUCUCGAACUCCUGACCUCGUGACCCGCCCACCUUGUCCUCCCAAAGUGCUGGGAUUACAGGCGUGAGCCACCGCGCCCAGCCAAUGAGCUUUUUUCUUAAAAAGUACACAGAAGACUUUUCUAUCCAUUCAUUCUGUUAUGCGCGUCAGUGUGAAGAGACCACCAAACAGGCUUUGG